AAAAAUAUUAAUUUGCUGCUAUGACUUAGCGGCGUUAAUUUGAAAACGCCUAUAAUUAAAUGAUAAAAGAUUCAUUGGCGGCGUUAGUUGUAACUAUAACGCCUCGAAUCAAUGCUAAUAAUUAGUUAGCGGCGUCAUUUUGUUUAACGCCGCAGUGUUAUGUCCUCGACAAAAUAUCACCCACGCUUAAUUCUUUCUUUGGGUUCUCGUCGGUAGACAAAAGCUCCUCCUUCUUCCUUCAAACUAGGUCCGACUCUGACCUCCAUUUUCUUCACCAUCAAAUCUCGCCGGGUUCACCAUCAAAUCUCGCCGGGAAAAGUGAAGCUUAAGAUUCAUAUCCACCGUCAUUAGCCUUCGAACUCAUCUCCACCACCGCCGUUCUUACUUAAGUUUAGGUGCUUCCAAGAAAGAGGAGCGCAAAUUUGAGAAAAACACGAGUUUUGUUUUCCAAAAUCAUGGAGGCUGUUGCAACCUCAAGUGCUAAGAAUAUAAUUCACAAGAAUCAGGGAGACCAUUGCAACCUUAAAUGCUAAGAAGACAACUCAGAAGAAGAGAAAGAGUGCAAUAAGACGAAAAAAGAAAGUGAAGGGAUAUGACCUAUCCCACCCAAAUGAGUUCUUGCCUGAGCUGAAAGAAGAACAACAACUUGCUCUUCCACCUAACGAAGUGAACUGCGAAUCCAGACAAAACCUAUUGAACUUGGGAUUUUGGUCAUGAUGGUUCUGCUAAUGGUUUAAAUCGGAGAAGUGGAGACCGUUUGGAUAGUUCCAUGCCACGAAACUUUCGACCUAUCCUACUUCCAAAGACCAUCAAGAAGCAAGAGGAGACUAUCUGCAGGGGGCAUAAAAAUUUCGAGUUGAUGCUCAACUUGCAGCUAGGAAUAAGGUUUGCCCGUCACUAAGUGGAGAUCCUUUCACCGAUGAGCAAAUUGCUGAAAUACGAGACACAUGGGCAUCAUACUUCACCGAACAUUUUGUGUAGAUAAUUAACACUUCAUCGAUCUCUUUUUGUGGAUGUUUCCUGCUAUUGAAAUCAUAUACAAUUGCCUUAUUAUAUUUUUGGUGUGAAUUUGUAACGUACGAAGUGUAAAAGAUAUAGUUAUGAUCAACUUGAAACCAUUUAGUUGGAUUAUUUUUGUAAACAUAUGAUGGUGGUAUUAUAUGUAAAAAUCAAAGUUUCUUGGAAGUUAUUGGUUGUUGACGAUACU